UCUGCCAGUUUAGGCUCUGUUCUUCUCAGACUGUUCAAGUCUCACUCUGGCUGCUGUCCUCAUUUCCCUCAGCACCUUUGUGCUUCUCUGCAGCUGAUCCUCUGACGUCCCUCAUAGUAUCACUGGAGCACUAUCAGACUAUCUGCAGGAAGAGCCUGAUGGUUGAGGGGUAGUGACUGUUCUUGAACCUGAUGGUGUGAGUCCUGAGGCACCUGUACCUUCUACCUGAUGGCAGCAGUGAGAAAAGAGCAUGGCUUGGUGAGCUAUCCCACUCCCUCUGCCUACCUGCCUGUCCUUUUGACAACUGAGUCCAGACGUCGAGGCGCUGAUUUCAAAGUUCUGUGAUUGGUGAAUCCUUGGGUCAAUACCGGAGGUUGAAGCUGGAAAGUUAAAGUCUUUGGGUUGCCGUGUUCAGAAAUUGCAGGCCUGGCGUCUGCGAGUUCAAGCCACGGACUGGAGGUUGGGGGCCCGAUGACUAUGAGUCUGAGGUCAAAGACUCUAGAGAGACUGUGCGAUGUUGGAAGGGUGUGUGUGUGUGUGUGUGUGUGUGUGUGUGUGUAUGUGUGUGUAUCUGUGUGCAUGUGCGAGAGAGACAGACAGGAUGGGAAAUGGGUUUGUUUUGCUAUUGUUGUUGUUGCUUGUGGGCAUGCUAUGUUUUCAGCGGAAUUUGUGAUGACACUUUCAGGCUGCCUCAGGGCAU